ensembl:snRNA U6 U6 spliceosomal RNA
AUCUCAGAGGUUUCCAGGUGAUGUUAAAUAGGACUGGGAAUGAUAUAGAGAAUAUCAGUAUGGCCCCUGCACAAGGAUAACAUACAAAUUCAUGAAGAGUUCCAUAUUUUU